rnacentral:rRNA from 1 species
UACGGAGGGUGCAAGCGUUAAUCGGAAUUACUGGGCGUAAAGCGUGCGUAGGCGGUUUAUUAAGUCAGAUGUGAAAGCCCCGGGCUUAACCUGGGAACUGCAUUUGAUACUGUCUGGCUAGAGUAUGGUAGAGGUGAGUGGAAUUUCAGGUGUAGCGGUGAAAUGCGUAGAGAUCUGAAGGAACAUCAGUGGCGAAGGCGGCUCACUGGCUCGAUACUGACGCUGAUGGACGAAAGCGUGGGGAGCGAACGGG